AUGCUAGUAAAUGAUGUUUAAACUUUUUUCCCCGUCUUAUCGAUCAUGCUGAUUGUAAAGAAAUAAGCCAAAUAUAUCUGAUGCUAGCAA